rnacentral:rRNA from 1 species
UAGGGAAUCUUCGGCAAUGGACGAAAGUCUGACCGAGCAACGCCGCGUGAGUGAAGAAGGUUUUCGGAUCGUAAAACUCUGUUGUUAGAGAAGAACAAGGACGUUAGUAACUGAACGUCCCCUGACGGUAUCUAACCAGAAAGCCACGGCUAACUACGUGCCAGCAGCCGCGGUAAUACGUAGGUGGCAAGCGUUGUCCGGAUUUAUUGGGCGUAAAGCGAGCGCAGGCGGUUUCUUAAGUCUGAUGUGAAAGCCCUCGGCUCAACCGGGGAGGGUCAUUGGAAACUGGGAGACUUGAGUGCAGAAGAGGAGAGUGGAAUUCCAUAUGUAGCGGUGAAAUGCGUAGAUAUAUGGAGGAACACCAGUGGCGAAGGCGGCUCUCUGGUCUGUAACUGACGCUGAGGCUCGAAGGCGUGGGGAGCAAACAGG